rnacentral:rRNA from 1 species
CAGAAGAAGCACCGGCUAACUCCGUGCCAGCAGCCGCGGUAAUACGGAGGGUGCGAGCGUUAAUCGGAAUUACUGGGCGUAAAGCGCAUGCAGGUGGUUUGUUAAGUCAGAUGUGAAAGCCCGGGGCUCAACCUCGGAAUAGCAUUUGAAACUGGCAGACUAGAGUACUGUAGAGGGGGGUAGAAUUUCAGGUGUAGCGGUGAAAUGCGUAGAGAUCUGAAGGAAUACCGGUGGCGAAGGCGGCCCCCUGGACAGAUACUGACACUCAGAUGCGAAAGCGUGGGGAGCAAACAGGAUUAGAUACCCUGGUAGUCCACGCCGUAAACGAUGUCUACUUGGAGGUUGUGGCCUUGAGCCGUGGCUUUCGGAGCUAACGCGUUAAGUAGACCGCCUGGGGAGUACGGUCGCAAGAUUAAAACUCAAAUGAAUUGACGGGGGCCCGCACAAGCGGUGGAGCAUGUGGUUUAAUUCGAUGCAACGCGAAGAACCUUACCUACUCUUGACAUCCAGAGAACUUUCCAGAGAUGGAUUGGUGCCUUCGGGAACUCUGAGACAGGUGCUGCAUGGCUGUCGUCAGCUCGUGUUGUGAAAUGUUGGGUUAAGUCCCGCAACGAGCGCAACCCUUAUCCUUGUUUGCCAGCGAGUAAUGUCGGGAACUCCAGGGAGACUGCCGGUGAUAAACCGGAGGAAGGUGGGGACGACGUCAAGUCAUCAUGGCCCUUACGAGUAGGGCUACACACGUGCUACAAUGGCGCAUACAGAGGGCGGCCAACUUGCGAGAGUGAGCGAAUCCCAAAAAGUGCGUCGUAGUCCGGAUUGGAGUCUGCAACUCGACUCCAUGAAGUCGGAAUCGCUAGUAAUCGUGGAUCAGAAUGCCACGGUGAAUACGUUCCCGGGCCUUGUACACACCGCCCGUCACACCAUGGGAGUGGGCUGCAAAAGAAGUAGGUAGUUUAACCUUCGGGGGGACGCUUACCACUUUGUGGUUCAUGACUGGGGUGAAGUCGUAACAAGGUAGCGCUAGGGGAACCUGGCGCUGGAUCACCUCCUUA